CCUGAGAGGGGGAUCCCCCACACUGGUACUGAGACACGGACCAGACUCCUACGGGAGGCAGCAGUGAGGAAUAUUGGACAAUGGACGAAAGUCUGAUCCAGCUAUGCCGCGUGCAGGAUGACAGCCCUACGGGUUGUAAACUGCUUUUAUACAGGAAGAAAAAUCCCGACGUGUCGGGGCUUGACGGUACUGUAAGAAUAAGGAUCGGCUAACUCCGUGCCAGCAGCCGCGGUAAUACGGAGGAUCCAAGCGUUAUCCGGAAUUAUUGGGUUUAAAGGGUCCGCAGGCGGUUUUUUAAGUCAGAGGUGAAAUCCUACAGCUCAACUGUAGAAUUGCCUUUGAAACUGAAAGACUUGAGUUAUUGUGAAGUGGUUAGAAUGUGUGGUGUAGCGGUGAAAUGCAUAGAUAUCACACAGAAUACCAAUUGCGAAGGCAGAUCACUAACAAUUAACUGACGCUCAGGGACGAAAGCGUGGGUAGCGAACAGGAUUAGAUACCCUGGUAGUCCACGCCGUAAACGAUGGAUACUAGCUGUAUGUCUACCUCAGGUAGAUGUGUGGCCAAGCGAAAGUGAUAAGUAUCCCACCUGGGGAGUACGAUCGCAAGAUUGAAACUCAAAGGAAUUGACGGGGGCCCGCACAAGCGGUGGAGCAUGUGGUUUAAUUCGAUGAUACGCGAGGAACCUUACCAGGGCUUAAAUGUAACGGGACAGGUCUAGAGAUAGACCCUUCUUCGGACUCAUUACAAGGUGCUGCAUGGUUGUCGUCAGCUCGUGCCGUGAGGUGUCAGGUUAAGUCCUAUAACGAGCGCAACCCCCAUCGUUAGUUGCCAACGAGUAAUGUCGGGAACUCUAACGAAACUGCCGGUGCAAACCGUGAGGAAGGUGGGGAUGACGUCAAAUCAUCACGGCCCUUACGUCCUGGGCUACACACGUGCUACAAU
rnacentral:rRNA from 1 species